rnacentral:lncRNA from 1 species
GGAUAUCUAAACUAGAUAUAGAGCUUAAGGGACCAUUAUGAACUAAUGUGGCAAGAUGAGAACCACAAAGAUGACCAAGACCAUUAUGAACUAAUGUGGCAAGAUGAGAACCACAAAGAUGACCAAGACAAUGAUGCUAGGUCUCAAAAGCAGAAGAGGAAACAUGGGCAGGGGUUGAGGCAGGAGAACUAGGCACAUGUAGUUGGUCCAUCAAAUACACUUCAUCAUGGUGAUGGCCGGCACCAAUCAGGCAUCUAGUUUGCUGAUCUUGCAUGAACAAAGAAGAGG